UAUCCUGUCUGAAUAUGGGGGGACCAUCCUCCAAGGCUAAAUACUCCUGACUGACCGAUAGUGAACCAGUACCGUGAGGGAAAGGCGAAAAGAACCCCGGCGAGGGGAGUGAAAAAGAACCUGAAACCGUGUACGUACAAGCAGUGGGAGCACAGAGCAAUCUGUGUGACUGCGUACCUUUUGUAUAAUGGGUCAGCGACUUAUAUUCUGUAGCAAGGUUAACCGAAUAGGGGAGCCGAAGGGAAACCGAGUCUUAACUGGGCGUUAAGUUGCAGGGUAUAGACCCGAAACCCGGUGAUCUAGCCAUGGGCAGGUUGAAGGUUGGGUAACACUAACUGGAGGACCGAACCGACUAAUGUUGAAAAAUUAGCGGAUGACUUGUGGCUGGGGGUGAAAGGCCAAUCAAACCGGGAGAUAGCUGGUUCUCCCCGAAAGCUAUUUAGGUAGCGCCUCGUGAAUUCAUCUCCGGGGGUAGAGCACUGUUUCGGCAAGGGGGUCAUCCCGACUUACCAACCCGAUGCAAACUGCGAAUACCGGAGAAUGUUAUCACGGGAGACACACGGCGGGUGCUAACGUCCGUCGUGAAGAGGGAAACAACCCAGACCGCCAGCUAAGGUCCCAAAGUCAUGGUUAAGUGGGAAACGAUGUGGGAAGGCCCAGACAGCCAGGAUGUUGGCUUAGAAGCAGCCAUCAUUUAAAGAAAGCGUAAUAGCUCACUGGUCGAGUCGGCCUGCGCGGAAGAUGUAACGGGGCUAAACCAUGCACCGAAGCUGCGGCAGCGACACUGUGUGUUGUUGGGUAGGGGAGCGU
rnacentral:rRNA from 1 species